rnacentral:ncRNA from 1 species
UACGAUUUGCGGGGGAACCACGUGUUGAGAAGGCAUUGCCUGACCCUUAGAACCUGUUGAGCCAAGACUUGCGUAGGGAGACAAAUUCAUGAGAAGG